GAUGAAGAACGCAGCGAAAUGCGAUAAGUAAUGUGAAUUGCAGAAUUUAGUGAAUCAUCGAAUCUUUGAACGCACAUUGCGCCCGCCAGUAUUCUGGCGGGCAUGCCUGUCUGAGCGUCAUUUCAACCCUCAUGCCCCUAGGGCGUGGUGUUGGGGAUCGGCCAAAGCCCGCAAGGGACGGCCGGCCCCUAAAUCUAGUGGCGGACCCGUCGUGGCCUCCCCUGCGAAGUAGUGAUAUUCCGCAUAGGAGAAGCGACGAGCCCCUGCCGUUAAACCCCCAACUUUCUCAGGUUGACCUCAGAUCAGGUAGGAAUACCCGCUGAACUUAAGCAUAUCAAUAAGCGGAGGA
rnacentral:misc_RNA from 1 species